AACGAACGCUGGCGGCGCGCCUAAUACAUGCAAGUCGAGCGAGAAGACGUAGCAAUACGUUUGUAAAGCGGCGAACGGGUGAGGAAUACAUGGGUAACCUACCCUCGAGUGGGGAAGUAACUAGCCGAAAGGUUAGCUAAUACCGCGUACGCUCCUUGGACUUCGGUUCAGGGAGGAAAGCGAUACCGUGGGUAUCGCGCUCUUGGAUGGGCUCAUGUCCUAUCAGCUUGUUGGUGAGGUAACGGCUCACCAAGGCUUCGACGGGUAGCUGGUCUGAGAGGACGAUCAGCCACACUGGCACUGCGACACGGGCCAGACUCCUACGGGAGGCAGCAGUAAGGAAUAUUGCGCAAUGGGCGAAAGCCUGACGCAGCGACGCCGCGUGGGGGAGUGAAGGGUACUUCGG
rnacentral:rRNA from 1 species